GCCCUAGUAACGGCGAGUGAAGCGGCAACAGCUCAAAUUUGAAAUCUGGCGUAAGCCCGAGUUGUAAUUUGUAGAGGAUGCUUCUGGGUAGCGGCCGGUCUAAGUUCCUUGGAACAGGACGUCAUAGAGGGUGAGAAUCCCGUAUGUGACUGGCUUGCACCCUCCACGUAGCUCCUUCGACGAGUCGAGUUGUUUGGGAAUGCAGCUCUAAAUGGGAGGUAAAUUUCUUCUAAAGCUAAAUACCGGCCAGAGACCGAUAGCGCACAAGUAGAGUGAUCGAAAGAUGAAAAGCACUUUGGAAAGAGAGUUAAAAAGCACGUGAAAUUGUUGAAAGGGAAGCGCCCGCAACCAGACUUUGCGGCGGUGUUCGGCUGGUCUUCUGACCGGUUUACUCGCCGCCGUGAGGCCAUCAUCGUCUGGGACCGCUGGAUAAGACCUGAGGAAUGUAGCUCCCUUCGGGGUGUGUUAUAGCCUCUGGUGAUGCAGCGCGUCUCGGGCGAGGUCCGCGCUUCGGCAAGGAUGAUGGCGUAAUGGUUGUCGGCGGCCCGUCUUGAAACACGGACCAAGGAGUCUAACAUCUAUGCGAGUGUUCGGGUGUCAAACCCCUACGCGUAAUGAAAGUGAACGGAGGUGGGAACUUUGUGUGCACCAUCGACCGAUCCUGAUGUCCUCGGAUGGAUUUGAGUAAGAGCAUAGCUGUUGGGACCCGAAAGAUGGUGAACUAUGCCUGAAUAGGGUGAAGCCAGAGGAAACUCUGGUGGAGGCUCGCAGCGGUUCUGACGUGCAAAUCGAUCGUCAAAUUUGGGUAUAGGGGCGAAAGACUAAUCGAACCAU
rnacentral:rRNA from 1 species